GAUGAACGCUGGCGGCGUGCCUAACACAUGCAAGUCGAACGGAGUUUAUGAAGUUUUCGGAUGGAUUAAACUUAGUGGCGGACGGGUGAGUAACGCGUGGGUAACCUGCCUCAUACAGGGGGAUAACAGUUGGAAACGACUGCUAAAACCGCAUAACAUUGCGACACCGCAUGGUGAUGCAAUUAAAUAUUUAUAGGUAUGAGAUGGGCCCGCGUCUGAUUAGCUAGUUGGUGAGGUAAUGGCUCACCAAGUCGACGAUCAGUGGCCGGCUUGAGGGAGUGACCGGCCACAUUGGGACUGAGACACGGCCCAAACUCCUACGGGAGGCAGCAGUGGGGAAUAUUGCACAAUGGGGGAAACCCUGAUGCAGCGACGCCGCGUGAGUGAAGAAGUAUUUCGGUAUGUAAAGCUCUAUCAGCAGGGAAGAAAAUGACGGUACCUGACUAAGAAGCCCCGGCUAACUACGUGCCAGCCGCCGCCGUAA
rnacentral:rRNA from 1 species